GACGAACCGAGCGAACGUUAUUCGGAAUCACUGGGCUUAAAGGGCGCGUAGGCGGGCCAUCAAGUCAAGGGGUGAAAGCCCCCAGCUCAACUGGGGAAGUGGCCUCUGAUACUGGUGGCCUCGAGGGAGGUAGGGGCGUGCGGAACUUCCGGUGGAGCGGUGAAAUGCGUAGAUAUCGGAAGGAACACCGGUGGCGAAAGCGGCGCGCUGGACCUCUUCUGACGCUGAGGCGCGAAAAGCCAGGGGAGCGAACGGG
rnacentral:rRNA from 1 species